rnacentral:rRNA from 1 species
UAAGGAAUAUUGGUCAAUGGACGCAAGUCUGAACCAGCCAUGCCGCGUGAAGGAUGAAGGUCCUCUGGAUUGUAAACUUCUUUUAUCUGGGACGAAAACGGGAUUUUUAUCUCAAUUGACGGUACCAGAGGAAUAAGCACCGGCUAACUCCGUGCCAGCAGCCGCGGUAAUACGGAGGGUGCGAGCGUUAUCCGGAUUUACUGGGUUUAAAGGGUGCGUAGGUGGGCUUAUAAGUCAGUGGUGAAAUCUCCGAGCUUAACUUGGAAACUGCCGUUGAUACUAUAGGUCUUGAAUUAUCUGGAGGUCAGCGGAAUAUGUCAUGUAGCGGUGAAAUGCUUAGAUAUGACAUAGAACUCCAAUUGCGAAGGCAGCUUACUACAUAUAAAUUGACGCUGAGGCACGAAAGCGUGGGGAUCAAACA